GGGUUGUGAGGUUAAGCGACUAAGCGUACACGGUGGAUGCCCUGGCAGUCAGAGGCGAUGAAGGACGUGCUAAUCUGCGAUAAGCGUCGGURAGGUGAUAUGAACCGUUAUAACCGGCGAUUUCCGAAUGGGGAAACCCAGUGUGUUUCGACACACUAUCAUUAACUGAAUCCAUAGGUUAAUGAGGCGAACCGGGGGAACUGAAACAUCUAAGUACCCCGAGGAAAAGAAAUCAACCGAGAUUCCCCCAGUAGCGGCGAGCGAACGGGGAGGAGCCCAGAGCCUGAAUCAGUGUGUGUGUUAGUGGAAGCGUCUGGAAAGGCGCGCGAUACAGGGUGACAGCCCCGUACACAAAAAUGCACAURYUGUGAGCUCGAUGAGUAGGGCGGGACACGUGGUAUCCUGUCUGAAUAUGGGGGGACCAUCCUCCAAGGCUAAAUACUCCUGACUGACCGAUAGUGAACCAGUACCGUGAGGGAAAGGCGAAAAGAACCCCGGCGAGGGGAGUGAAAAAGAACCUGAAACCGUGUACGUACAAGCAGUGGGAGCCUCUUAAUGGGGUGACUGCGUACCUUUUGUAUAAUGGGUCAGCGACUUAUAUUCUGUAGCAAGGUUAACCGAAUAGGGGAGCCGAAGGGAAACCGAGUCUUAACUGGGCGUUAAGUUGCAGGGUAUAGACCCGAAACCCGGUGAUCUAGCCAUGGGCAGGUUGAAGGUUGGGUAACACUAACUGGAGGACCGAACCGACUAAUGUUGAAAAAUUAGCGGAUGACUUGUGGCUGGGGGUGAAAGGCCAAUCAAACCGGGAGAUAGCUGGUUCUCCCCGAAAGCUAUUUAGGUAGCGCCUCGUGAAUUCAUCUCCGGGGGUAGAGCACUGUUUCGGCAAGGGGGUCAUCCCGACUUACCAACCCGAUGCAAACUGCGAAUACCGGAGAAUGUUAUCACGGGAGACACACGGCGGGUGCUAACGUCCGUCGUGAAGAGGGAAACAACCCAGACCGCCAGCUAAGGUCCCAAAGUCAUGGUUAAGUGGGAAACGAUGUGGGAAGGCCCAGACAGCCAGGAUGUUGGCUUAGAAGCAGCCAUCAUUUAAAGAAAGCGUAAUAGCUCACUGGUCGAGUCGGCCUGCGCGGAAGAUGUAACGGGGCUAAACCAUGCACCGAAGCUGCGGCAGCGACACUAUGUGUUGUUGGGUAGGGGAGCGUUCUGUAAGCCUGUGAAGGURGCCUGUGAGGGUUGCUGGAGGUAUCAGAAGUGCGAAUGCUGACAUAAGUAACGAUAAAGCGGGUGAAAAGCCCGCUCGCCGGAAGACCAAGGGUUCCUGUCCAACGUUAAUCGGGGCAGGGUGAGUCGAYCCCUAAGGCGAGGCCGAAAGGCGUAGUCGAUGGGAAACAGGUUAAUAUUCCUGUACUUGGUGUUACUGCGAAGGGGGGACGGAGAAGGCUAUGUUGGCCGGGCGACGGUUGUCCCGGUUUAAGCGUGUAGGCUGGUUUUCCAGGCAAAUCCGGAAAAYCAAGGCUGAGGCGUGAUGACGAGGCACUACGGUGCUGAAGYGACAAAUGCCCUGCUUCCAGGAAAAGCCUCUAAGCAUCAGGUAACAUCAAAUCGUACCCCAAACCGACACAGGUGGUCAGGUAGAGAAUACCAAGGCGCUUGAGAGAACUCGGGUGAAGGAACUAGGCAAAAUGGUGCCGUAACUUCGGGAGAAGGCACGCUGAUAUGUAGGUGAAGCGACUUGCUCGUGGAGCUGAAAUCAGUCGAAGAUACCAGCUGGCUGCAACUGUUUAUUAAAAACACAGCACUGUGCAAACACGAAAGUGGACGUAUACGGUGUGACGCCUGCCCGGUGCCGGAAGGUUAAUUGAUGGGGUUAGCGGUAACGCGAAGCUCUUGAUCGAAGCCCCGGUAAACGGCGGCCGUAACUAUAACGGUCCUAAGGUAGCGAAAUUCCUUGUCGGGUAAGUUCCGACCUGCACGAAUGGCGUAAUGAUGGCCAGGCUGUCUCCACCCGAGACUCAGUGAAAUUGAACUCGCUGUGAAGAUGCAGUGUACCCGCGGCAAGACGGAAAGACCCCGUGAACCUUUACUAUAGCUUGACACUGAACAUUGAGCCUUGAUGUGUAGGAUAGGUGGGAGGCUUUGAAGUGUGGACGCCAGUCUGCAUGGAGCCGACCUUGAAAUACCACCCUUUAAUGUUUGAUGUUCUAACGUUGGCCCSUAAUCSGGGUUGCGGACAGUGUCUGGUGGGUAGUUUGACUGGGGCGGUCUCCUCCUAAAGAGUAACGGAGGAGCACGAAGGUUGGCUAAUCCUGGUCGGACAUCAGGAGGUUAGUGCAAUGGCAUAAGCCAGCUUGACUGCGAGCGUGACGGCGCGAGCAGGUGCGAAAGCAGGUCAUAGUGAUCCGGUGGUUCUGAAUGGAAGGGCCAUCGCUCAACGGAUAAAAGGUACUCCGGGGAUAACAGGCUGAUACCGCCCAAGAGUUCAUAUCGACGGCGGUGUUUGGCACCUCGAUGUCGGCUCAUCACAUCCUGGGGCUGAAGUAGGUCCCAAGGGUAUGGCUGUUCGCCAUUUAAAGUGGUACGCGAGCUGGGUUUAGAACGUCGUGAGACAGUUCGGUCCCUAUCUGCCGUGGGCGCUGGAGAACUGAGGGGGGCUGCUCCUAGUACGAGAGGACCGGAGUGGACGCAUCACUGGUGUUCGGGUUGUCAUGCCAAUGGCACUGCCCGGUAGCUAAAUGCGGAAGAGAUAAGUGCUGAAAGCAUCUAAGCACGAAACUUGCCCCGAGAUGAGUUCUCCCUGACUCCUUGAGAGUCCUGAAGGAACGUUGAAGACGACGACGUUGAUAGGCCGGGUGUGUAAGCGCAGCGAUGCGUUGAGCUAACCGGUACUAAUGAACCGUGAGGCUUAACCUUACAACGCCGAAG
rnacentral:rRNA from 1 species